UGCACUCGACACUACAUCCUCGCAUCUUAUAAAACCUAAGCCUGAGCCCUAAAUCUGACAUCCUUAAAUAGUAAUUUCAAUACCCUUGUGCCUUAAUUUCCCCGAUACUAAUCACUUCUACCCGACGGACUCUGAAGGACAGAAAAACAUCGGUACACAAAUAUGAUUCUGAACCAGCCACCGAAUUUGGGUGUCAGGCUUAGGGGCCGGCUUAAGGUAAUUCAUACAAGAGCGGUUUGAUGACCGAUCCCUUGCUCGGAUUAUAGACAAGUUUGCAAGCGAAAAUGAGGUGGAGGUCGUAUUUUCUUUGCUGCAAUUUUCAUCUAUAAACAAGUGGGAGUAUAAUCGACUAUCCAGCGAUGUAUGUAAGCUGCCCGGGUGAAAAUAUAAUUAGUGUAGUGGAGUGGAUUGUCGGACGGCUAUGUUGCCGGGGUGGAUCACAGAGGAAUUGUUGUUGAAGAUGAUGGAAUCAUUGCUAUUUUUUAUAUAGGUGGAUGAAGUGGCUUUCCAAGUCGGGCAGUAGGAUUUUAGAUUCCCUAUUACGGAGGCCUGAGGAGGAGUAGUUCCAUGUUAGAAUGUGGUAGCGGAGGAGGCCGGAGGUGACCUCGGUGGGUUUGAGCGCAAGGCCCUGGUCACUGGGGACUAAGAAGGUCACACAGACUUCGAGAUCUGAGAGGUUCUGAGGAGAUUGGCCCAUAUGUUGAAUUUGCCCUUGUCUGCCAAUGGGUUCGAUGGCAUGUGUUACAAAAAAUCACACAUAUAGAAGUUUUAUUUAAUUUAUUUCUCUUUUAUUUUGGGUUAUUACAUUGUAUCUAAUCCAAUAGUUGUGGUGUUGUAGGAACUUUAUUCAUUUAAAAGGAAUAAAACCCUUUUGGAUAUAGAGAAAGAGUGAGAAAAAAGAUAGAGAGAUGGGCUGUAAUUUGGGUUUCUCUUGAGAGCUUGGUAUGCUUUGUUUUAGAGAGAGAAAGUGAGCAAAAAGCUUAAACUCCGUUGUGGGUUGGCUGUGUGCCCUAUUUUAAUGAGAUAAAGUGUUAAAGAGAACCCAUUUUUUGGUGUUCUUGGAGCCUUGUUUUUGGGCUCAGUUUAGAGUGAGCAAGAGCUGUUGGAAAUUGAUAUUUUGAGCUCGAUUUCACGUUGUAAUCUUCCCAAAUCAGUAAGUAAAG